rnacentral:ncRNA from 1 species
AGCCAACUUCCGCCGGGAAGUAUUAUUAGGAAAGCCACCCGUUUCGUUAGGCCUUUGCAGAAACGGGGGACUUUCCCUUUUUGUU